UACGGGGGGGGUAAGCGUUGUUCGGAAUUACUGGGCGUAAAGGGCUCGUAGGCGGCCAACUAAGUCAGACGUGAAAUCCCUCAGCUUAACUGGGGAACUGCGUCUGAUACUGGAUGGCUUGAAUUCGGGAGAGGAAUGCGGAAUUCCAGGUGUAGCGGUGAAAUGCGUAGAUAUCUGGAGGAACACCGGUGGCGAAGGCGGCAUUCUGGACCGACAUUGACGCUGAGGAGCGAAAGCCAGGGGAGCAAACGGG
rnacentral:rRNA from 1 species